rnacentral:piRNA from 1 species
UGACAGACUCAUUGUUUAGGGUCAAGUUU